GAUAUAGACCCUUUUUGACAUUUGUGCCUAAACAGCUGUGGAUAAAAGCCAUGUGGAGAUGGAUAAACUGCACAAUUAAAAACUACAGAUGUCAACUUCAGGCCUACAAAGACCAGACACUGAAAAUAUCUCAUAUGUUAAGAGGUAGACUCUACAAUUAGGGCAAUUAAAAAGACAAAGGCAAAGAGAUGCUAGACUUGAGAGAGGCACCAGGCAACAAAAUAACAAGGAUUUAUCAAGAAGAGUUAACACUGCAGAACCCAGAAAGGAAAGACCAGGAAAGCUAGCUCCCUUCCCCCACCUGACAAAAUGCAAGAGAGGUUUAGGAUCUCUGGGAGCUGCGUUUUCAGCAGAGCAGUGGCAUGGCAUGGCAUGGCAUGAAUUGGGAUUGUAACUAUGGAAUCUUCUUCCACUGACUCUGCAGACAUCCUGAGUUAUAAUACUUCAAGAAGACAAUCACAGCAGGAUACAGUCUUCAGAGAAAUAUUCUGCUUUCUUU